rnacentral:misc_RNA from 1 species
AUCAGCAUGAUUCUCUUCCACCUUUCUUUUGUGGUUCUGAAUAUUUAUACACGUGCCAACUAAGUGUAAUUACCCAAAAGGAUAGGUAUCUUGAGAUGGUUGGAGCACAUGGCGUACUCUUUUCAAUGCAAUCCUAACAAUGUAUAAAUCUAAUUUAUGCUGGGACGCUACAGUACACACCAUGUAAUCUGUAUCAGUCUUUCCAUUAUCCUCCAGAAUUGAACUUGGCGCAACAGAUCUAUGAGGCAUUGUUGCUCCACUGUCACACAUGUAAUUUGAUACUUCCAUACAAGUCUUCAACCCAGAAAGUAAAUUCCUAGCGAUAAGGCAACUGUUUUUUCCAAAUAUCUCCACUCCUUUUAAAUAUAAUUCUUUCUCAAUAGGUUUCCACUCACACCUGCUCGAGACACCUUCUAAUUGUCUUUCUGUUGAGGAUGACUGAUUCAAUUCAGGCACUUCAGUGAUAUCAUUGGCUUCAUCUCUAAUUUGCUCCUCAGUGCCAAAACAAACAAGAUUUUUUGGGGCGUGUUUGCUGGGAUCAUUUAUUGUGCCUUUGGUGGUCAACUGAAGUUCACUUCUAUCAGUUGUGCUUUCAGUACCAGCCAUGUCAUCAAGAUUUGGGUUAUCUUCAACAUCAUCAGUUACUACAUCUAAAGCCACUGAUUUCUUCUGCUUCUUACUAGUAGAAUCCUGGGGAUCAUCAGGAACCUGUGUGGAGUCAUCAUCUGUAUCCUGUGACACUCUACGCUUUCUUAUAUGUUCUGGAUUGUGCAUCACCAUGGCAGGUGUAUCUAAAUUUGAAGCUCCAGAAGCAAGUUCUGAGUGACAAAUAGGUCCUGAAGUAACAGAUAUCUCUUUCUCAGAAAAACACCUAUCAUCUUGUUCUAGAUCUGUGCCACCAUUUGCACCACUUGGAUCUUCAGCAUUUGAGGCACAUGCAAUCUUUUUUUCCCCUUCCAAGGUUGCAGGUAUUGUCCAUUGCAAAACAUUAUUAACUGAACCUUCUGGCAAGUCUUUGACAGCUCUAAACCUAAGGCAACAUUGAUUGCUGCAAGGUUUUCUUUCAUCUUCGUAUUCAGACCAAUAUGGCUGCUUUUCACUCUGACAACCAAAGCCUCCUAUUAGAUAAGCAAAUAAAUGAUUUAGUAAGUUGAAACGAUAUAAUGAAUGUUUCUACUUACAGGAUUGAUCAAAGUUUGAGAACAGCCAUGUAAGCGGCAGUCAAAUAGCAAACAACGACGACAAAAUAGGUUAUCAAAU